UCGUGGAGCGAUUUGUCUGAUUAAUUUCGAUAACGAACGAGACUCCGGCUUACUAAAUAGUCUAAAGUUCGCAGGGACUUUUCAAGACUUCUUAGCAGGAUAAGUGGCACUUCUUAAGCCACACGAAAUGGAGCAAUAACA
rnacentral:rRNA from 1 species